GGCUGCAGUCGAGGAUCUUCGGCAAUGGGCGCAAGCCUGACCGAGCGACGCCGCGUGGAGGAUGAAGGCCUUCGGGUUGUAAACUCCUGUCGAGGGGGAGGAAGGGGAAACCUUGACCGAUCCCUGGAGGAAGCACGGGCUAAGUUCGUGCCAGCAGCCGCGGUAAGACGAACCGUGCGAACGUUAUUCGGAAUCACUGGGCUUAAAGCGCGUGUAGGCGGAUGGGAACGUCGGAUACUGAAAGCCCCCGGCUCAACCGGGGAAGUGGUCCCGAAACGACCUGUCUGGAGGGACGUAGGGGGAUCUGGAACUUCCGGUGGAGCGGUGAAAUGCGUUGAGAUCGGAAGGAACGCCCGUGGCGAAAGCGAGGUCCUGGACGUCUGCUGACGCUGAGACGCGAAAGCUAGGGGAGCAAACGGGAUUAGAUACCCCGGUAGUCCUAGCCGUAAACGAUGGGCACUGGGUAGGGGGCCCGCCGAUGGGCUCUCUGCCGUAGCGAAAGCGUGAAGUGCCCCGCCUGGGGAGUAUGGUCGCAAGGCUGAAACUCAAAGGAAUUGACGGGGGCUCACACA
rnacentral:rRNA from 1 species